GGCCACAUGAGUAACUGCCAACUAAACUUUCAAGGGGGAAGUGGGAGAGGGAAGCCUGUGGCAGAGAUAAGGAAGACCCAUAUCCUCGAGAGUGGUCUUGGGAAUCAACAAUGGCUCUCCUGAAGGUCUUGGAUCUUGGGUCAGACCGAACAAUCUACCUGGAAAUCUGCCCAGCAACCUUUGCCAGUGCAGUUUAUUUCUGCACCUAAGCUGUUAAGCCCAUAGGUACAGGCCCCAGGGGCCCAAGGAAGAGGGAGCUGAAGGCUUAUCAGGGAUGAUAAAGAAUCAAACACAAGAGAAAGAGCUCUUUACUAGAGACAUUUCCCAGAAGCAAUCCAAAGGCUAAGACAACACUCCAUAUGCUUAAGAGGGCUAAACAGCAACCAGGAAAAAAAAAACCCAUUUUGCAAGAGGGAAAGACAAAAGAUGGAGAUGAAGGAAUAGCCAAACCUUAAAUCUGCCUCUGGCCUUGCUGGCGGCUCC